AAGAUCAUACUUUUAGGGAUCAUUUCUGUAGUGUGUAUCUUGAAAACGUCAUCAAAUUAUGAUAAAUCCUCAACUACCAUGAUGAGUUGUAGGGAUUCCUUCUGAACAUGAAGCUUGGUUUGUUGUAUCUUGCGAAUGAUGUUGCGAACUAUUGAAGAUUGUUCUUGGAUUUCCAUUUGGAAAUCUUGGAGGAAGGAAUCUCCGGCUGAGUAGU
rfam:Ciona savignyi cont_12574, whole genome shotgun sequence.